UACAGAGACUGCGAGCGUUAAUCGGAAUUACUGGGCGUAAAGCGUGCGCAGGCGGUUUUGUAAGUCAGAUGUGAAAUCCCCGGGCUUAACCUGGGAACUGCGUUUGAAACUACAAGGCUAGAGUGUGGCAGAGGGGGGUGGAAUUCCACGUGUAGCAGUGAAAUGCGUAGAGAUGUGGAGGAACACCGAUGGCGAAGGCAGCCCCCUGGGUUAACACUGACGCUCAGGCACGAAAGCGUGGGGAGCAAGCAGG
rnacentral:rRNA from 1 species